rnacentral:rRNA from 1 species
CCUACGGGUGGCUGCAGUGGGGAAUAUUGGACAAUGGGCGAAAGCCUGAUCCAGCCAUGCCGCGUGUGUGAAGAAGGCCUUCGGGUUGUAAAGCACUUUCAGUGGGGAAGAAAGCCUUGGGGCUAAUACCCUCGAGGAAGGACAUCACCCACAGAAGAAGCACCGGCUAACUCCGUGCCAGCAGCCGCGGUGAUACGGAGGGUGCGAGCGUUAAUCGGAAUUACUGGGCGUAAAGCGCGCGUAGGCGGUCUGAUAAGCCGGUUGUGAAAGCCCCGGGCUCAACCUGGGAACGGCAUCCGGAACUGUCAGGCUAGAGUGCAGGAGAGGAAGGUAGAAUUCCCGGUGUAGCGGUGAAAUGCGUAGAGAUCGGGAGGAAUACCAGUGGCGAAGGCGGCCUUCUGGACUGACACUGACGCUGAGGUGCGAAAGCGUGGGUAGCAAACAGGAUUAGAUACCCCAGUAGUC